GGCGGCGUGCUUAACACAUGCAAGUCGAACGAUGACUUUUGUGCUUGCACAAAAUGAUUAGUGGCGAACGGGUGAGUAACACGUGAGUAACCUGCCCUUAACUUCGGGAUAAGCCUGGGAAACUGGGUCUAAUACCGGAUACGACGGUCCACCGCAUGGUGGUCCGUGGAAAGCUUGAUGCGGUUUUGGAUGGACUCGCGGCCUAUCAGCUAGUUGGUUGGGGUAAUGGCCCACCAAGGCGACGACGGGUAGCCGGCCUGAGAGGGUGACCGGCCACACUGGGACUGAGACACGGCCCAGACUCCUACGGGAGGCAGCAGUGGGGAAUAUUGCACAAUGGGCGAAAGCCUGAUGCAGCGACGCCGCGUGAGGGACGAAGGCCUUCGGGUUGUAAACCUCUUUCAGCAGGGAAGAAGCGAAAGUGACGGUACCUGCAGAAGAAGCGCCGGCUAACUACGUGCCAGCAGCCGCGGUAAUACGUAGGGCGCAAGCGUUAUCCGGAAUUAUUGGGCGUAAAGAGCUCGUAGGCGGUUUGUCGCGUCUGCUGUGAAAGCCCGGGGCUCAACCCCGGGUCUGCAGUGGGUACGGGCAGACUAGAGUGCAGUAGGGGAGACUGGAAUUCCUGGUGUAGCGGUGAAAUGCGCAGAUAUCAGGAGGAACACCGAUG
rnacentral:rRNA from 1 species